rnacentral:tRNA from 1 species
GCCGGGGUAGCCUAGCCAGGGAAGGCGCCGGACUCGAGAUGCCUAUACGGAAGGGCUGGAGCCUAGGCACAGGGGAUCCGGUUCCCCGUCGGGGGAGCAGGGGUUCAAAUCCCCUCCCCGGCG